rnacentral:sRNA from 1 species
GAGGUCCGGCUCGGGCUCCAGCAUGGCGACCGCGGUGCGCGCUGUGGGCUGCCUCCCCGUGCUGUGUAGCGGGACGGCAGGUCAUUUAUUGAGGAGGCAGCAUUCCCUAAACACCUUACCAGCAGCUUCCAUUUUGGCAUGGAAGAGUGUUCUCAGCAAUGGCCAUUUGUCAUCACUGGGAACCAGAGACACCCAUCCCUACGCCAGCUUGAGCCGUGCACUGCAGACACAAUGCUGUAUUUCUUCUCCCAGUCACCUGAUGAGCCAGCAGUAUAGACCAUAUAGUUUCUUCACUAAAUUGACUGCAGAUGAGCUGUGGAAAGGCGCUUUAGCAGAGACUGGUGCUGGAGCAAAAAAAGGAAGAGGCAAAAGAACUAAAAAGAAGAAAAGAAAGGAUCUGAACAGGGGUCAGAUCAUUGGUGAAGGGCGUUAUGGUUUUCUAUGGCCUGGACUGAAUGUCCCUGUUAUGAAAAAUGGAACAGUGCAGACCAUUGCCCAAAGAAGCAAGGAAGAGCAGGAGAAGGUGGAGGCAGACGUUAUCCAGCAGAGAGAAGAGUGGGAACGAAAGAAGAAGAUGAAGGUUAAACGGGAGCGAGGAUGGAGUGGAAACUCAUGGGGAGGCCUCAGUCUUGGCCCCCCUGACCCUGGUCCCAGUGGAGAAACAUAUGAGGAUUUUGAUACCAGGAUACUUGAGGUAAGAAAUGUUUUCACUAUGACUGCGAAAGAGGGAAGAAGGAAAUCGAUCCGUGUCCUGGUGGCUGUGGGGAACGGAAAAGGAGCUGCAGGUGAAUGGGGAGUGAUGGCAUCACAGUGGCGGUGGUGUGCAGGGAAAGGCGUGGCACGGGCCGUGCUGUGGAGCCCAUGGGCUCAUGCUGCUGGCCAGACUUUUUCCAUUGAUUAAACCUUUUAGUGGUUUGGGUUCACAAAGCUUGUGGUAAGUCCGUAACUUCCCUUAGAGAGAAAAGAGAGAAUAGAUUCUACUGUACUUGCCUUUUCCUCUGAGGAAAAGGAAUGUUAUAAAAGGCUGAAGACAUUAUUUUAUUAUGUAUAAUAGUGGAAAAUUAGGGAGAAAAACACUAAAUAUUCAAUAGGGCCAUGGUUAUAAAAACAGUGUAGCCAUGCACUGUAAUAUUCUGUAUCCAUUAAAGAAUUAUGGGAAAUUACUUUUAAAAUAAUGCUAAGUUUAAAAAAAACACAAAAACAUUAUAUAAGACCAUAUAAAAUCCUAGUUUUGUUUUUUCUCUUUUAAAAGUAUAUUUAUAUGCCAAGAAAAGACUGGAAAACUAUACACUGUAAAGGUUAAUAGUGUUUACUCCAAUUAGUAGGUUCACUGGUGAUUUAAAUUUUCUCCUAUGUAUAGUUACCAUAGUGGAUACCUGUUUUUGAAAUGUAUUCAUGUCUAUUGAAGGAAAAGAACACAGGAAAAUGGCCUAGUUAGCCCAUACUGACAUUUAACAAAGGUAAUACAUAUAUAUAUAGUAUGUGGCCAAAGGAAACCAGGCCUAACAACUACUUUUGUAAUUUUCCUAAAUUUUGUGUUCAUAUUAUUAUCAUACAUCUUUAAAAAAAUUUACACAAAGGGAUCACAUUAUAGCCAUAAUUUUGCACCUUGAUUUUCUUACCUAGUAUUAUAUUCAGAGAUAUUAAUACUCAGAUUAACAUAAACAUUCUC